UUCUAACAAGUGUUUUGUCUGUAAUUUUGUAAAAAAGACUGAUAAAGUUUUCAGACACUUUUGCAUUUUCAUAAUUUCAGACACUUUUGCAAUAGUUUUGUGUACUGAAUGUUCUGAAUACAAACAAAAUAAAGAAUGUGGUUUUGAUUCUGAAUUUUUAUUUCAAACCUCUUAUGUGCUCCAUAGUGUAUGUACAUACAGAGAUUCAAGGUUCCUGCUUGCCUAAGGUGAUUCUUGUAAAAUGUUAUUGUUUGCUUCACUCAUAACUAAAUUAACACUUGGUUCUGGAGGUCUGAUGGUGUUACUAAGGAAUAGCAGUAAAAGAUCUGGCUAUAUUACCUGAUCUUCAAAGGUUCAUGUGAAUAACAGUGGCAGAGAUUUUUUUUUUUAUAUUUCUCCACUGAAGCCUAUAGGUAAAAGAUGAAUAGAUUUAGGGUGCCAUGCUGGACUUCGAAAGGAGAUAAUGUAGUACUGCUACAGUGGAGACUUAGUCUUGGUUGGACAUAGAAACAGCCUGAUUUUUUUUUAUAUAUAUAUAUAUAUAUUUUUUUAACGUGUCAUCAUUCGUGUUUUAUUCUUCUUUAAAUGUGGUGCAGUUUCCUGGAGUUGAGGCAUUUCAAAUUUUGUGUCCUCAGAAGGCUUAUUUUCUAUGAAAGUUCUAAAGUGCCAGACUUACCAGUGAAUGAGAGUAUUUAAUUAUUCUGGAAGUCAUGGCAAGGAAGGUGAAGUUCUAAUUUUCUUAAAUGUUGGUGGGGUUUAUUUUUUGUGGGUUAUCUUUGGGUUUCAGGUUUUUUUGUUUGCUUGUUUGUUAAUGAUUGGAUGGUUCAAGCAUCACUGCCUUGAGUAGCAUUUGUGAAAAUGACCAGUGAUUUGGUUUUGAGUGAGAAAACGAGAAAAGCCUAGAGAAACGUGUGUUGCUGAUCAUAGACCUGCAAAUUCAGUCCUGGUUCAAUCAAGUAUUUUAUGAGUGUGGGUGGGGAGAGUAGGUAUAUGGCUUUUAUCUUGCCGAACAACAUUAAAGGAGUUCUAGUCAGUUGCCUGGAUUCUUCUACCUCUACAAUUAAGAACACUUAAAAACUAGAGCACAUUAAUUUAAACCAUAUCAUCAAAUUAUUCUUCAUCACAAUAUUUUAAGUUGAAAAUAUAUUUGUCCCAUGCUAUUUUUUGUUUCAGUCACCCAGUUUUUAGUAACAUUGCUUUCUAGUGUUUCUUGUGAAACAGAACUAUUUCCCAUACUUCCAGAAAAAUAUUGCAUGUAAGGAGAAUAUUUAAUCCGUCUCUAGGAUUUUGAGUCAUUACAAGAAACAGCCUAUAUAAAAAGACUUUUUAUUGGAAAUGUAGUUAGUGGAAAUAGGUUCAUGAAUGCUUAUGUACUUUACCUAAAAGAAACUGAUUCUUUUGCUAUGAGAAUGAAGUUUAAGCAGCACCACUAGAACACUGCUUGCUUGAACAAAUAACGUUUGCUUCAAGUUGUUUGGUUUGAUGGUUUUGUUUUUGUUGUUGUGUUUUGGUUGGUUUUUUGGUGGUUGUGCAUUUUUAUUUUUUUUAUUUGUUGUUGUUAUUUUUUUAAACUAGCUUACUGUGUUGUCUAAUUACUUAAUUGCAUUUGCUAAUGUUGUUAGGGAUCCCCAUCCCUUUUGCUCACUGUUCAUCUCCUAUGACAGUAAGGUGAACUUCUUCCAUUCUAUAUUAUUACUCAUCAAUGAAAAGCAGAAAUACUUGUUUUGAAGGCAUGAUCACCUCACUUACAGAAAAUAAUUUCAAGUUUUUGCCAUAUUAUGUCAUCAUCAUUCUGGUUUAUUUUGAAAAUAAGAGUGGAAGUUAUUUAAUUUGAGGAACUGUAUGUGGAUAAAAUGUGUUUUUCUGUGUUCAAACUAUUUCUGUACAGUCUCAAACAGCUGAGUGUAUUCUACCUAUCUAUCGAUAUCUAUAUCUGUUAAAAACAUCUGGAAAGUAGAACAAUCACAGUAACUUUUUUCACCAUGUUUGCAGAUAAAUCAUUUAUGAUCAAAUCAUUGUUGGUGUUACUUGGACUUUUUUAAAAUGAUGAAAUACUAUGAAAUUUUUGUGAUGGAGAUCUGGCCUCUAUUAUUCUUUGUCUAGCACGUGCACAGUUUUUCUUUCUGAAGAAACUGAAUAUUGGUUGAAUGUAGUCAAGUAGGUGAUUUUUCUCUUUUCUUUUGAUACGUGACAAAAGAAGAAAGCUUUAGUGUAGAACUGAUCAACUUAAGUCUAACUUAAGCCUUCUUCCUUCUUCCUUCACUGGGAAAAGUCCUUUUCCACAUGCUACUAAAAUAAAUUGAGGUGGUUCAUAUUGACAUAGGAACACAUGCAAAUGUAACACAAUAUUGGUAAUUUAUCUCAUGAUAAACAGUUAACUACAAGAUUUAGAAUAAUCUUCAAUUAAAAGCAUAAGUAACACACACAGAGCCUGGAUUCUACACUUCCUUGCCACUGGAAGGGGCUUUUUUAUAUGUCCUCUCUGUUUCCUUACCUUUACAAUGUUAGACAUAACUUUCAUGUUUUGCAGCGUAAUUUCUUGAAGGUUUUCAGAUUUCUCUUUCAAGUCCAAAAUAGUGAAUUCCUAAAAAACAACAAUUUAAAAAUGAGGGCCUGGAGGUGUACUUGCUUUUAGUUCAGGGGUCGAUAAGCAGAAGAAAAAUAAGAAAAAUUGGCAGCCAUUUCAAGUCACGGUUUUGAAAUGCCAAAGAGGAGCAGCAAUGGCUGCUUAGUCUUCCUGAUAUGAACAGAGAAAGCUUUGUUAGGCCUCACUCUGUUAGUGAAGGAAGAAGAGACAAAUUGCAUGUCCUAAUUUAGAAAUUCCAGCCUCAAACCCAAUGUUUAGAUCUGACAGCUCUACUUCUGCUCAAGAACCAGUUUCCUUUCUGUUUUGCACCCCUUAUCUUUUGUAGUACCCCUGCAAUUUUUUCCCUACAUUUUAACUCAGUUUUCAGGCUUUCUUGAUUUUGCCUACCUGGUAGGUAAAAACAGAGUCUUAGUGGAUAAAAAAUAAUAAUUAAAAAUAUUAUCUUAUAUGUGUAAAAUAAGUACAUGAAAACUAGGCUUCGGUUAGUAGUGGGGCAUCACAGAACCAGAAAACUAAUGUUGUUCGGAAGUUACCUAAAUUCCUUGUUCUCUUAUAUGCCUUACUUUCUAGAUAUUUAAAUUUUCUUCUUUUUUUGAUCACUUGUCAUGAGUUCCUAUUCUGAGUAUCACACAAAUUUAAAAAGAAAGCCCUCAUUAUGUUUAUUUAAAUGUCAGCGUUCAGAUGUAAUGAAUUCUUCCUCAUGGCAUUGGUGAUGACUGGUCCCAGUAAUCCUGUCUCAGGUUUUGCCAGGCUGUUCCUAUUUGUAGCCAUUUGGUUAUAAGAUAGUUUACACUGAAUAUUUAAACUAUGUUUACAACAGAAGAGCUUGCCAUUAAAAAAUUAUUUUGCCUGUAAUGUUUCCGGCUCCAUUGUUCACUUUGGUUUGGUUCACCCCAUUUAAACCAGCAAACAAUACCUCAACCAAAAUUAUAUGCCUUCUUGGAACAGCAUGUACUUCAACUGGUAGUAAGAACUAGACAAAACUUUGGCAGAUUUCAGUCACUGAAGACAGAUUUAUGCUGUAUGAUCUGUGACUGCACUUUCCAACAAUAUCAUAGGGAAACAAUUCCAGCCCUAAAAAACUUAAAUUACAGGACAUGUUUUGCCAUGUUGAAUAUACUUUCCGCUUUGAAAACAUUAGGAGUGUCUCUUUGGAGUAUUCCUGAAUACCACACUUUGCUGGUCCUCUCUCUCAGCCUUUCACCAGAGACCUUUUUUCUUCACUCUAGACUUUCAUCAGGGUAGAGGCAAAAUGUAGACUGGUUAAAAUUGUGUUCAACAGAAACGGGAGGAAAGCUGCAAAAUCUUCCUUUAUGAGUUCCCAAACCAUAUUGUGGCUCUUUUUACACUGCAUCAUUUUACGUGAUUUUUCUUGGGAUAUUCAUUCAAAAGGACCCAGUGAUCCUGGGAACAUGCACCACUCCUCUCCUGUCCCUUUCCUACUGGCCAGGUUACUUUUUGUAAGGAGGAAGAGAAGGGUUUGGAAGGCAAUGAACAUUUCUGCUAAGACAUUUCUUUUCCUACAAAAGUAUGAUUACUGAAUUCUUAGAUUUCAGCAGGGUAAAAAAGGUACACAAUUAGGUUUGUUUUUUUUCCUUUUUUUUUUUUUUUUUUUUUUAAAGUAUGACAUUUACAGAGAUCUACUAUAUGCAGAUAUCUCAUUGAAGAAAGCAAGGAAUAUGAAAGAAGCAAACGUUUUUUGAGUUUUCCAUAUCUAUCAAAUGAUAGUGAAGUCUGUACCUAUUGCAUUUUUGGAAGUAAAUGCUGUAGCUAAUUGAUGAUCUCUGUCCUGACAAAUAGAAUUGAAUAUAUUGUUUUUAGGAGAACUGUAUCAAUGUAAACUUCUUGCAUACCAACAUACCCCAAUCUCAGAAAACAAAAAGUUAAAGAACUUUAGAGGUAUAAAUCUUUUUCUUUCUUAUCUGGCAAAAAAUCAAGCCAAAUUGCAACAUGUGGUGUGCAAGAUCUUGCCUUCUACUGUAGGUCCAAUGCAUAAUGUUAGAAUUGGCAUAUCUUAGCUUAAAGAGAGUGAACAUCAGGAAGCAUAUGUAGGUAGACAGUUUUUUCUUGUUAGCCUUGAGAAUAAGUUAUGCUUCAUCAAAAGUGCACAGAAGGGAAAGAAAGUUUAUGUGAAAUGAGAUGAUAGAAACCUGGCAGAAGACUUCACUGCUGGGGUCACAGGAACUGCUGCAGUGCGUAACAUUUUGUUCGGGAAGGCAGGGGGAGUCUAGCCAGUCAAACUUAAUUCCAGAACAUUGUAAGUGCAAGUCAGGUAUACACUGCCUUUUGUGUUCAUGUUCAUGAAACAGAGUUCUUGCACAGGGGUUUUCAGUUUUAUUGAUGGAAAUCUGUCUUUGAUUCUUAAUGUUAGAACUUACUCUUCAGUGUAAGUAUGGUGGAAUUUUGGGGUUUCUUUUUGGUUUGUUUUUACAAAGCCUAAUAAGCACAGAGAUUUAUUUUUUUUUCAUGUUCUGCAGCUGUAGCAGCUUAAUUAAUUAAGCUUCUUAAACUAUGAAGUGAGGUUCUCCAAUUUGAGAUCUCAAUAUAAUUUAAACAGAGACUGUCUGUUCCAGUCUGUUCUUCUUCCUAUAUGACUAGUAGCUGAACAUUGUGAUUAAAAGAGUCUUCUGAUAGUGUUGGGAUUUCUUAGGCCAUGAAGCAAGGUUGAGAAUGCCAGCAGAAAUAUAGAAAUGAGGCAAGAAGUGUUUAAUUACAUCCUGAAAGACACCAGAAACAAGUGGGCCUACUCUGCCACUAGAUGGCAGUCAAGUAUUUUUAAUGGACUAUGCAAGGCACUUUUAAGUUAUUCUCAGGGGGUCCUGAAGACACCCUGCAGUGUGGAUAUUAAUGUAUUUAUUUUUAGUCAGAAAGUCAGAAAGUGGUGGCUUUCUGGUCAUCAAUAAGUCAGCCUGUGGAAAGGACCCAUAUUUACCAUGCUUAAUCUGAUGGGGGUUUAGAAAUUGGAGCAUUUCUUGAAGAUAGUAAAACUUUGUCCUGACAAUAGCAAAAUUUCCGAAACAUUAAAUGUUUGGAAAGUUCUGUUCUGUCACUGUUAAGUUUUUUAAAAAUCUGUGAAGGGAACAUAUUUAAUUUGUUCUACAAGACUUCUGGAUGACUGUCUUUGUAAGGGUAAUUUAAAAGUUUUGCUGCUGAAUUACCACUGUUUAAAUAAAGAGGUCAGUUUUCUUUUGGAUAUAAAAUCCUGAAUCUUUUCCAUUUUGUUCUGAUGAGGGAAAGAGUUUAAAAAAAAAAAAAAAUAAAAAAAAUGUACCUAACAUCAUUUUUAUCAAUUAGUUGACAUAUGUAGAAUAUAAAUCAUAGAUUCCAGAAUAAAAAAAGUACAAUAUGUCAAGCCUGUGUGGUAGAAAAAUAAAAGCAGUUAAUUUCUCAGAAUAAAUGUUAGUAUUUUGUAUUAUAUCCACACUUCACAAUACUUGGAUUGACUUCCGUUGUUUUGCUUGAAGGCAAUGUUUGCUUCUUUAAAAGGAACAAUACAUUGGUAUAAUUUUCAGUAGAGUGACAAUAGCACAUUUUUGCACUAUUCCUCCUGGCAAUGGUGAGACUAAAAUUUGUUUUGUUCUAAUUUGUGCUCUUGAUGUUAAUGUCAAGAUGAAGUUUUUCUUAUGUGCUCAUUCAAAUUUGAAAGGCUCUUAAUUCUGUUUUUCCUUUUUGAUACAUGACAUGCUACUUCAAUUAUAGAUCUGAAAUAACAUAAAAAUAAUAGAAUAAUUUAGGGCUGAAUAGACAUUAUGAGGUCAUGCUGCCCAGCCCCUUCCACACCAGCAAGGCUAGCUUACGUGUUAGAUUGUUUUCUUAGGAUCUUGCUACAUUCAUUGUGUUGUUUUGAUAACAGAUUGAGAAGAUGAACAUGUGUGCUCUGAAAGCACAUAUAUUUCCUGUGAGUUACUCCUAAUUUAAACUCUGUGUACUUAGAGGCAUUGGUUAAAAUUCUCACGAAACUGCUGUUUGAGUUCAAGUGGAUCAUUUGGCUUCAUGGCUUCUAUAUCACUGACUUUUAUGAGAAUAUGGUAGAGUGUAAAACAAAUUUUGCAUCUAGUAAUUACAAUGAGCAUUCUGUGUUUUCCAUUUUAACUACGCUUUGUACUUAGACACAACCAGACUGUCUUUUUUCACAUUUUAGGUACCAGCCUUAAGGUUCAGGCAAUACCAAUGCCUGAACAGUGAGCUUACAAAUUCUGUCUGGAAGAUGACUUAGGAUUUACAGAUUUCCCUUUCUUCUGUCAUUGAUGAGAAAACAAGGAGAAAUGAAAGUGAAACUAAGAAACCUAUUACUUUUAGCCAGAAUUGCUUGUUGGUACCUAAAAUCCUUGGUUAUAAUGUGAGAGUCUAUUCUUUCCCAAGAGAUGAAUUAUUGUGUGGGAUAUGGCUUGGAUAGGAAGAAUUACCUUUUUCACAAAAACGUGUCUCCGAAGAGUAGGUCACUGAAAGAAAAUUUCUUCUUGUGCCAUUCCUAGCAGGACAGACUUAUCUCAUUUGCCAAGUUGUCUUAACCUAUUUGAGAGACCUCAUCCAGUCAAAAAUGAGCCAUGUUCUAAAGAUUAAUUUUUAAAAUUUUUCUCAGCAUUGAAGAUCAGCUGCUAUCUUACAGUGGUCUACAUCCCAAAAAUUUCUAUAGGACCCUCUGUGUGGAAGAGAGAUAAGAAAUGCUUUUCGUAAUAAAUUUUUUUUUUUUUAAAUUGCAUAUUUCUAAAUGAAAUAAAUAUUAAAAUUAAAAAAAAAAAAAAAGAAAAACAACCAUGGUAUAUUGCCAUACUUGAAUGAGAAUUUUAAAAUAAAGCUGAGAAUUUCUACGUUUUGGAUAAAAAAACAGACUAACCGGUUUAACUUCUACUUACAAUCAGAUCAAAAUAUAAUCAGGUUCUCCAUUUUGAGUUAGUAUAUGUUAAACGAUUAAGAUCACUUUAUUCUUUUCUGUAUUUUUUAAAUCACUAUUUUUUUUGUUCUUUAGAGAAUAUGCUCAUAGGUAUAUUCAAAGCCAAAUACUACUGAUAAAAAUUAACCCACCUAUUCCUGAAUGUUUAAUUAAUUUCAAUAUUCAACUUUUCCUGAAGACAAAUGAUUUUUUUCUAAUGUCCUUCAUACUGAAAAGUAUUUACUUAACCUCCCAAAAUGUAAAGCUCGUCUUUAAUGACUUCAUUGUAGUUGAUUGUUUAAUGUUCUCUCACACAAGAUGAUACAGCUUUACUCUUAAUAGAGCCUUCCCACUUUCAAAGAGUUAGAGAAGCUGACUGACCUCCAGCCCCCUACCCUCAGUAUGUUCAUGGAUACAUUUGUGAAGACUCUGACUUCUCCAAGCUUUUUCUGUCGUGAGCAGGAGGCUAAUAUUUCAGGGUAGUGAAGGGUAUUCAUCCCUUUCUACAAAGAUUUAUUCUUACUGUGGAUAUUUCUUGCUGCUUAUUCCCUGCUGGAAGCCUGAAACAAAAGCAACAUGUGAACCUCCCAUUUCGUGGUCUGGCUGAACUCUUGGAUAAAAAGGGCAAGUACCAUGUAGAAUUAUCAUACUCUGGACAGUUGCUUAAUAAGCUGUGGCAAAGUUCACCUGGAAAAUCAUUACCUCUUUUUGAUCUCUAGUGCUGGACCAUCAGGAGAAGAAACCAAAGGUGUUCUGAGUCCCUCAAUUUUAGAUUAUUAAUGUUCACAUUUUGGGCAAUAGAAUCCAUAUUGUUAUUUCUAGCAAAAAAACUAGUAUAAUUUCUGUAUAUAAAGAAUACAGCAAUAAUAGAAUGUGGCAGUUUACAGUGUGACUUCUUCCCAGGUUGCCAGUCAAUCUGAAGUUGGAUCAAAAAUCAAAAAAUGGCCUCGUGUGAAAAAGAAAACUCCUUUCUCUGGUAUGCCAAUGUAGUAAUGUUCAAGGUAUGCCAGAUUUUGUUUUGUAUUUUAACCAAAUGAGAGGGAUGGUUACCUUGGCUAGGAUACAUAAGAAAACUACUCAACACGUUUAGACUCAGAGAUAAUAUACUUUAUGACAAAUGCAGGUGAUAGAAGAAAGGAAGUGAUUCAUCAUGUGAUAGUAAUUUCAAUAAACAGCCUAAAUAUUGAGCAGAAAAUAAAUACAGAACAGUUUUUUUCCGCAACUGAAAAAAAAAAAUCUGACUUAUAAGGUGCCUGCUGCUUAUUGGAUUAUGGGCAUAGGUGGCUGGGUUUUAGUUCUCUCUGCAUCUGCUAAAAGACCCAAGUGCAGCUAAUUCUAUUGUAGGAGUCUUUGAGACCAACAGCAGAACACCUAAAAAGACAGCAGAAAUAGACAAAAUAAGGCUAUAUUAAAAUUAAUAAAGUUGAACUGCCUUUUUUUUUCCCCUCUCUUUUAUUUCUAUGCCCGUUCUCAUUUAUAUACUGGUUUUACACUAGGUAAGUGACAGAACAGUUAAAUUAGUUUCUGGGUUAACUGAAGUUACAUGGAAGAGUAAGCCUUUUUUGAAGUCUUUAAAGGUGAGUGUCACAAAGAUUGAGCCAGGCUCUUCUUGGUGACAACCAAUGAUAGGACAAGGGGCAAUGGGUACAAACAGAAACACAGGAGGUUCCACUUAAAUUUGAGAAGAAACUUCUUCUCAGUGAGGGUGACAGAACACUGGAACAGGCUGCCCAGGGGGGUUGUGGAGUCUUCUGCUCUGGAGACAUUCAAAACCCGCCUGCACACAUUCCUGUGUAACUUCAUCUGGGUGUUCCUGCUCCGGCAGGGGGAUUGGACUAGAUAAUUUUUUGAGGUCCCUUCCAAUCCCUAACAUUCUGUGAUUCUGUGAUUGUUUACUGCUUUACUGCUUCAUGCUGCUCUAUUAAAGAUAUUUCAUUUAUGCUAGGAGAGGAACCUGCAAGCCUUGAGGAGGUUUUUUUAUUGUGGUGUGUUUGGUUUUGUUUGGUUGGUUGUUGUUUUAGGUUUGUUUUGUUUUGUUUGGGUUUUUUGUUGUUUUUUGUGGGGCUUUUUGUUUUCUUUUAAAGUUAAUCAGGUCUGAAACUUUCUGGGCAAUCAGGCUGAAAAAUACUAUUUGUGCAGGCUAAAAGUAAUAUUAUGUAAGACUACAGUAAUUAUACUUACUGCUGUGUAGCUCCUAGGGUGCACAGUGGUUCUGUGAGAUUUUAUCUUGUCUUGUCUAUAGUUUACAGAAAUUCUUUGGAGGUUCCUAUUGUAGCAGAACUUGUAGAUAACUUAAGGUCAUAUUUCAGCUCAGUUAAGAGUUGUAAAACUUGUAGAGAGAAAACUUUUAAUCUUUGAUGCAUCUCACGUUGGCUUUCUGUUUUUAUUAUUUGCUAAAAUGGGAAGUGUAAAGAACUGGAAUCUUAUCCUCUGAAAUGCACUUAGCCAAGGGGUAAGGAAUUCAAACUGUUCAGCAACAGAAGCUUCACAAAACUGAAUCUGAACAAAACUUUUUUCUUCUGCUUUCCAGCUUUAGAAGUUGGCAUUUGUAAUCCAUGCGUCUGUCUUCAAAGGUCUAUGCUCCCUGCUGAUCCUGUGUUUUACUUGAACUGUUUGAAUUGCACUAAUUAAAGAUUUCUGCAUAUUGGUGGUUUUUUUCUGUUUGUUUGGUUAUGGUUUGGAUUUUUUGGUUUGGUUUGGUGUUUUGUCGUUUUUGUUUUAAUGUGUGUGUGUGAUGAUUGUUUUGUGUUGUGGUGGUGGGCUUUUGUUUGUUUGUUUUCAGUGUUUGCUUUUUUUCCCAUGCUAGGUUAUGAUAAAACUUCUGGGUUGAUUAGACAUGUUCUAGCUGUUAUGCUUAGGAAGAGCUAAAUAGUCUCAAUGCCAGCACAGUGCAGGCUCGUGUAAUCCAUCUGUUGCAGUGUGUCACUGUGUGGGAGAAUAACUCAUGUCCAUCAAAUAAAGUUUAUCACUUCAGGCAUGGCAGUGAUUGCUACACCAAGGCUUGCUUGUUCAGGGCUAUCCUGGGGGUCUGUGCAUCAUGUUUCUCUGUGGCUGUAGGAAGAAACAUCGACCACAGCUUAAACAUGUCUCCUUUGUCCCCGUACAUGCACCUGCAGUAUAAUAGAAGCUUCUCAAAAAAUUAUUUGAUCUCAUAGUCUGAGGAAGAAACUAGUAUCCGAUACUAAUUUUACUCCUUCAGCAGUUCUCCCUGAUGCUGUUGGCAAGUUUGCCAGCUUUCGACUGAACUUCUACUACCAGAAAACUAGAAUGCUGCAACAGGCUUUGAGGAUCAAGUGAAAUAUGAGUUAGAUGGAUCCUAUUUUGUCUGAAUCCAAAACAAGCGUCCAUCGGUACUUCUCAUCUGACAAUCCUUCUAGCACUAAAAAUGCUUGUUAAAAUGUUGUGUCUCCUUUCUUAAGGUUGAUCUGCAGUUGCAAGAAGAAGCUUUGAAAAUGAGACAGCUUUAAAAAGAGAAACCUUAAUAGAGAUUGCACUUCUCUGAAUUCAGUUCUUACUGUGGCACUACCUUCUGCUAUUUGAAAGAAGACUUCCACAGUACCCGAGUCCUGGGUAAGAACUCUAGGCAAGACAGAGUUCCCUCAUAUCUCUUUUAAACCCUGUAGGUUUCUGCUGUGGAAUUAUCCUUCAGAUUAAAAAUGAACCUUCUUUUCA